rnacentral:rRNA from 1 species
GUGAGGAAUAUUGGACAAUGGGCGCAAGCCUGAUCCAGCCAUGCCGCGUGCAGGAAGACGCAUCUAUGGUGUGUAAACUGCUUUUGUACGGGAAGAAGCACUCCCUCGUGAGGGAGCUUGACGGUACCGUAAGAAUAAGGAUCGGCUAACUCCGUGCCAGCAGCCGCGGUAAUACGGAGGAUCCAAGCGUUAUCCGGAAUCCUUGGGUUUAAAGGGUCCGUAGGCGGUUUAAUAAGUCAGUGGUGAAAUCCCAUCGCUCAACGAUGGAACGGAAAUUGAUACUGUUAGACGUGAAGUACAAGGAAGUAUCUAGAAUAUGUAGUGUAGCGGUGAAAUGCUUAGAUAUUACAUGGAAUACCAAUUGCGAAGGCAGGUUACUACUUGUGGAUUGACGCUGAUGGACGAAAGCGUGGGGAGCGAACAGGAUUAGAUACCCGUGUAGUCC